GACGAACGCUGGCGGCGUGCUUAACACAUGCAAGUCGAGCGGUAAGGCCCUUUCGGGGGUACACGAGCGGCGAACGGGUGAGUAACACGUGGGUGACCUGCCCUCAGCUCUGGGAUAAGCCUGGGAAACCGGGUCUAAUACUGGAUAUGACUCCAUGACGCAUGUUGUGGGGUGGAAAGCCUUGUGCGGCUGAGGAUGGGCCCGCGGCCUAUCAGCUUGUUGGUGGGGUGAGGCCUACCAAGGCGACGACGGGUAGCCGGCCUGAGAGGGCGACCGGCCACACUGGGACUGAGACACGGCCCAGGCUCCUACGGGAGGCAGCAGUGGGGAAUCUUGCGCAAUGGGCGAAAGCCUGACGCAGCGACGCCGCGUGAGGGAUGACGGCCUCGGUGU
rnacentral:rRNA from 1 species